rnacentral:lncRNA from 1 species
AACACCUGAAGAAUCAUGUGCACAGAUAUUUCGAGAAGCUCGAAGAACAGUACCGAGUAUUGUUUACAUGCCUCACAUUGGUGACUGGUGGGACGCUGUCAGCGAGACCGUGAGAGCAACGUUUCUGACCUUGCUGCAGGAUAUACCAUCCUUUUCACCUAUAUUUUUAUUGUCUACCUCUGAAACCAUGUACAGUGAGCUGCCUGAAGAGGUUAAAUGUAUCUUUAGAAUACAGUAUGAAGAGGUAUUAUAUGUUCAAAGGCCUAUUGAAGAAGAUCGAAGAAAAUUUUUCCAAGAACUUAUUCUCCAUCAGGCAUCAAUGGCACCACCACGAAGGAAACAUACUGCUCUUCGUGCUAUGGAAGUGCUUCCUCUCGCACUACCAUGUCCUCCUCGUCAGUUAUCAGAGUCAGAAAAAAGUCGGAUGGAAGACCAGGAGGAAAACACAUUACGAGAACUGCGGUUGUUCCUCAGGGAUGUUACCAAGAGGCUGGCCACAGAUAAACGCUUUAACAUCUUCAGCAAACCGGUGGAUAUUGAAGAGGUCUUGUUUCAGUAGUGUGCAAACAGUGAAGUUGAACUGGCUAAAA